UGGAAACUCCUCUGCAGCCAUGGAGGAUGUAGUGGGAGAAGGGACACCAAGCCUGACCCGGACUGCUCUGCCCCUGCCCAUGUCGGCUCACAGUGGCAGUGCCGCGAUUCGCGGGAAUUUUGGGGGCGGAGCCUAAUACUGUGAAAUGCCAGCCCCCAUAAGAGACCUGAUCUGUACUGUAGUCAGCAUCUUACACACAAUGUGCUACUGUAUGGCUGAAGUGGACAUACAUAUAUUUACAGGAUGUGGACAAGGCCAUUUUGCUCGGAUUCCAUUUCAUCUUUUACUGACUUCGUUUGAUACUCACAAUCAAGCUGAGGGGAGUGUGGGUCACGUCUUGGAGGUGUGUCCAAAAUUUGGAGUGUGGGGCCCGAACAUAC